CCAAGAGUAUAAAUAACAUGUAUUCAUUAUUUAUCGUGAACACAUUUGACAUGAUGGUCUGCGAACUGAACAAAAGUCAUUGUGUUCUGUUGAUUUGUGCCCGGUAACAGUGAUUAAGCACAUUGUAUUUUAUUUUAACCCAUCAAGCUGCAGAGCUUCCCCAUUAAUGAGUAAAAUCGUCUGGCAUUAGACAAGUAAAAAAAAUAAGUAAGGCGCACUGGGGCACAUUGCGGCUCAAUGGAUUAAUUAAGUCUCCAUACGAUAUGGAUAGCUCAUAUCAAAUGUGCAACAAUGAUGAAUAACAUGUAGU